GGGAAUAUUGCACAAUGGGCGAAAGCCUGAUGCAGCAACGCCGCGUGAGUGAUGAAGGCCUUCGGGUUGUAAAGCUCUGUCUUUGGGGACGAUAAUGACGGUACCCAAGGAGGAAGCCACGGCUAACUACGUGCCAGCAGCCGCGGUAAUACGUAGGUGGCAAGCGUUGUCCGGAUUUACUGGGCGUAAAGGAUGCGUAGGUGGAUAUGCAAGUCAGAUGUGAAAUACCCGGGCUUAACUCGGGUGCUGCAUUUGAAACUAUAUAUCUAGAGUGCAGGAGAGGUAAGUGGAAUUCCUAGUGUAGCGGUGAAAUGCGUAGAGAUUAGGAAGAACACCAGUGGCGAAGGCGACUUACUGGACUGUAACUGACACUGAGGCAUGAAAGCGUGGGGAGCAAACAGGAUUAGAUACCCUGGUAGUCCACGCCGUAAACGAUGGGUACUAGGUGUAGGGGGUAUCGACUCCCUCUGUGCCGCAGUUAACACAAUAAGUACCCCGCCUGGGGAGUACGGUCGCAAGAUUAAAACUCAAAGGAAUUGAC
rnacentral:rRNA from 1 species